rnacentral:lncRNA from 1 species
UUGGGGAGGGGAGCAGAGCAUGAGCAGGGGCGGGGCAGAGAGAAAGAGAGAGAGAAUCCCAAGCAGGAUCUGUGUGUCAGCACAGAGCCUGACGUGAGGCUCGAACUCACGAACCUUGAGAUCACGAUCUGAGCUGAAAUCAAGAGUUGGACACUUCACCAACGUAGCCGCUACCGAGGUGCCGGGGAGGACAUCAGUACCUCCUUCUUAAUGUUGCUGUGCCUCGAACGUGAAUCUGCAGAAACCCUCCAUGUGAAGACAGAAGCUUUCUGUGGAUUAAAUGUCGCUUGUGGACGGGGCUGGGUGAGCUCAGGGCCAGCCAAGAAUUCCCCGUGUUCGCUUUCCGGCAGCCUCCUCUCCGGUCCUCUGCCCGUGCCCACGAGGCUCACAGCUCCUACAAGGUGUCCUCGGAAUCCAUUCUGGAGAAAACAGUCAGGACUCAAAAGCAAAGCCCUUUCCCCUAAACUCUGUCCUCGAUGAGAAACGAGAAGGUUGAACGGUUGGAGAGCAUCUGACACACUCCAGGCUUUGUUUUCUUUGCCUUCUUUGGAGAUUGAGAAGAACUUCGUCCUUAGCUUCCAGAGAGAGACAACGGGGCCAUAGUUCCCUGAUCUUUCCCAGCAAGAUGGUAAUGGGAGUGUCUGAACUCCGCCCAGAGCUGUGGCUCCUGUGGGGCAAAGUCUGUUUCCUCCCAAAUAACCCAGCUGAGGAAAUGUCCCCAGUCAGUUCUCCACUCCUGUCUUACGUUAUCAGAAAGACUUCAUACAGAUGACCCUCCCCUGUGUUCUCACCUAUUUCCAGGCACACAGAAGAGUAGCGGUGACCCUGAUAGGAAGUGUUUUAUUCUGACUUAUCAAGCAUUCACCAUGGACCAGAGACUGCUUGAGCAAUUUCCAUGCGUUAACUUAAUCUAAUCUUAACCACGACCCUAGGAGGUAGGCUCUCCAGAUGGCAUCUGGCUCCAGAGCUCACUCUGUUUCCCAUGAGAAAGCAUUGUUUGGGACAUGUCAGAAUAAUAACAAUUGACACACACCACAAAACGUCCUAGGAAGCCUUAAAAAGUGUUUCCAGAGAACUCCUCUUGUUUCCCCUUCGUCACCAUCCGUGAGAUGAGACGUCCUUUCUCCUCCCGUCCGCACUAUCUAUCUCCAGCGUCGGGAUGAGGGAGAGCAGCCGGGGAGAGGUGGAGGGCCAGCCUGGCCUCGCCGGUGUUUGCAGGGGUGAUGUCUGGCUGCUACUGGGUGCUCUGGCCGCCGGGGCAAGGUCCGCAGCCUGCAUCACCCAACACGGUGUCAGAAUCCGGUCCCCUGCUUGGCGUCUUCCCAAACUCAAGCAAGCCAAAAAGAAACUCAUGAUCUC